GACAGCAGUAGAGGGCGGAAGUGCAGUCUGUCCAGGAUGAGGUUCCUGGUUGCGUUUGUCUUGCUGAGCGUCGCAGCGGAGGAUUAUUGCUUUCGUCCUGGAAGGAAAAAGAUCCAAAGUCACACGGCGGCCAAAGGCCAGUGAUUACCAGCGUUUGGACCAGAAGAUUUGAAUUUUCUGUUCUUGAGAACCAUGUCCUCCCUGCUGAUUUGUUUCUAAGUCAAGAAAAAUGAAGAGAAAAAUACUGUGACCUAAGAGAGACCCCCUGCUCUCGGGUUUGGUGGCGAGUCUGGCAGAGGCAGGGGGGGAUUGCUUUGGUUUUUGCACCUGCACUUUGGUGACCUUGUCCUCCUGUGUUCCUGUUAUUUAUGCUGGUGUCUUCCAGCCUGUCCCCCUCUGAGUGUGAGUAGAGGAGCAUGUGGGUACCCAGCAGUGACCAAAGGAAGACCCCAGCCCUCAGCAGGUGCUCGCUGCUGACUGCCCUCUGUGGGACCUUGGCCUUGUGGUAAAGUUUUCCCUUGAAAACUCUUGCACUCGCCCCUGUUUACCUUCACAGACCUAGGCGACUACAGCAGGCUGAGGUGCGUCUCCCAGAGCCUCUCCCUUUGGGGGGAUGCGCCCCACAGAAGAUGGAGAAGGUGGGGAAUGCUGAUGGGUGAAGGGCUCCUUUGAGCACACGAUUCUCUUCAAAGGCUUUGACAGCAAACCAAAACAGCAGCGAGAAAACGUGCUUUAUCGCCGGCGAGCCCGGCCUGCCCAGCACAAGCUCUUCACAUUCUUCUGACAUUUUCAUGUCACCUAGGACUAAGCCACCCUACUUCCAUUUGGUCGGUCUGGGCAGAAAACCAUACUUGGGGAUUCUGGGAGGAAAGCCUUAAAGCUCCGGUUCCCAUCACAGGUUUUUUUUUUAAAUAGCAGUUAACCAUGAUUGAAACACUAUGUUCACCCUACUCACUAUUGUUAGGAGAACUUUUUGAAAUAGGGUGAGUUCAUGUUUUGGGCAAGAAAGCACGUGGUUCAGUUUGGCUUUGGUCAGCAGUUUUUCUCAAAGGGUUGUUAUGAAACAGGUUUCCUGCAAACUGUUUUGCCUUUGUUGCCUAAAAUUGACUUAUAUUUACAGACUGACUGUCCUCCCUCUUUUACCUAAAUCUAGUUAAUGGUCCUCUUAUCUGGUACAAAAUGCCAAGGCUGGAGUUCCCACUGUGGUGCAUUGGGUUAAUGAUCCAGCAUGUCUCUGCGGAAGUGCAGGUUUAUUCCCCAGCUCAGCCCAGCCCAGUGGGUGAAGGAUCUGGUAUUGCUGAAGCUGUGGUGUAGGUCGAAGCUCUAGCUCAGAUUAGAUACCUGGCCCUGGAACUUCCACAUGCCAUGGGAGUCGUUAAAAAAUAAAAAUAAAAUCCAAGGCUAAUUAGUAAAUAUCCUUCUUCUAUCCCACAUCUGGGGUUAUUAAAAUUUAAGGAAUUCAGAGCGUUCCCUGGGGUUUGGGCUGUUUCAAGCUUUAUUUAAACCUGUUCUAGUUGUGCCACCCUAUUAUAGAGAGCCUAAAGAGAGUUGUUUCUGCAAAGAAAAAACCAAAAUAGGAGUUCCCCAGUGGCCUAGCGGUUAAGGAUCCAGCAUUGUCACUGCUGUGGCUCAGGUCACUGCUGUGGUACAGGUUCAGUCCUUGCAUUGGGAACUUCAGCAGGCCACGGGCACAACCAGCAAAGGCUGAAGUAGAAUGUUUCAUCUCAGAGAAGUGCACAGAUUGUGCAAAGCGAGGAACAGGGUGAGUUCUGGGCUGUUGAAAAGUCUGGCGGAAGAAGGGGCUAUCCCGAUUGUCAUGGUACCUUCCAGCUCGCUUAAAACAGCCCUUGACUUUGCAUUGCAAUUUUGCUCUCUGCAGGUAGCAUUUGUGCAGGUGAGGACUGAAUACCCUUGGCUGCGGUGGUUUUACUCCCUGCUGUCUCCCGUUUCCCUGCCUUUCUUCCUCCCUCUGAUGUCCUCUCCUUCUGCCUGUCUCUGCCAGUCCCUUUCCUUCCACCUUUGCGCAGGCCCAGAUUCCUCUGCUCCCCUCCAUCCUGUUUGUUGUUCGUUUUGCUGUUCAGCUUCCGCCAGAAGUCUCGCUUCUGCUCCCUUGCCACUCAUCCUCUUCAUCACUUCUACAGACUCACUUUGAUCCCCGUCUUCCUGUGAAUGAUGUUUUCCCUGAGCUUCAAAUCACCAAAUCCAGUGGCUUGGGCUCAAAGCUUAGUCUUGUCCUUGACAGAACUGGACCCUUAGGCCAUCCGCACUGAACUUCCCCUCCUGGCUUCUGAGACCACCUUUGCCUUAUCCUGUGCUUGAAGGGCUGUGGUCAGAAACUCCUUUCUCUCCUCAGAAACUCAUCCAUUCCUCAUCCUCUGAAUGAGUGGCACCCAAGUGUUUACCCUCGGCCUAGUUCCAGAGAGCCCCAACCUGUGUGCUCGAUGUGUCAGCUUGGUCACCCUGUUGUCACUGAACCUGAAUUUCUCCCUUCUGCCCAUUAAACUGCCCCUCUCCACAGACCACCUUCUUUAAUCAUCUCGACUCCAGACUACAGACCUCUGCCAUUUUGAUCUCUUGUCACAAAAGUCCUAUCCAUCUUUUAGAAACUGUCUCCAGCUACAGUCUUUCUUUCUGUUGUCCUUGCUUCCCUGCCCCCCACCCCCACCCAUUUCAUUUCUCUCCUGGAAUUUUUUUCCCCCCAGGAGCUACCUUAAUUGGUCUCCUGCCCAUCUUCUCUUGUGUGUGUAGAGACUAGAGCGAUCUUUCCAAGGGACAUGUGGUGAUCUGAAGUGUCUCAGUCUUCAAGAAUCAAGCUCGUGCACCAUGGUAUUCAGGGCUCCUCAGGCUGGCAUUGCCCUGCCUGCCUUUCUUUCCCUGCAUCCUCUCCAGGCCGAAGGCCCCUCUCUGCAGGUGCCCAUUUGGGCCCCUAAGCCUUUUCAUCCUUGCUGCAUCCUCCAGCCAGCCCCUGGCUUCCUGCGGCUCUCCUGUUAGGGUGCUCCCCCCUUCUCUUCUUUCCAUGGCUCCUUCAGGGCCCAGCUCACAUUUUGCUGUGCACCUUCCUGACUACUCCCCCCCCCCCCCCCCCCCGACUUUCCCCACUUUACUCUGCUUUAGUAGCGCCUGAGAACACCAGUACAAAUUUUGGAACUUUGGCAAAAAGGGCAGUUGGCUGUUGGUAUCUGAUGUCUCUGUCCUCCCCAAGAAAAGUAAGCUCCUUGCAGGAGCACCCAUGGCACCCUCUGCAUGUCUGCCUCGCACGGGACGCUCCCCGGUCACUUGAGGAGUCCAGUUUCUUCUUGCAAAGGAGAGCGUGUUCUUUGUUCAGGACAUUGGGCUUUGACUUCACUGAGGUCUCACGCAGCUUUCUGGCUACUGGUGGCUGUCCCUUAUUGAUGGAUUUUGCUAGUAAAGAGGACAGCAGAAAGGAAGUGUGGCCCCAGGCACCAAGAGAGUUGGCAGCAAGGGGACAUUUAAGAAGUGUUGUGGAGUCCACAGAGCUUCACUUUUUGAGACUCAGAGAAGUAGCAUUUCUUGUGUAAAGGAGUACAGUAGAAUUUAAGUUGCACAUUAGAAGUUGCACUGAAAAUCUCCCACCCCAAAGGAAAGUUGUUUUCUGGGUAGCUGGCUUUUGGAUAGACUCUUUGAAGCAUGUUUUCUCAGAGAUUGUGGAGAUGAGGGUAUCCUCGGGGAGGGGGGGAUCUGCCCCCCCAUGGGUGGGGGUGGGGUGGGCAUGAGAGGCACCCCAUCCCGACCUGCAUGUGCCUCCUGUCCAGCCCCAAGCUUUUGGCUGAAGAGUGGUUUUUGUUUGGAGGAGUCUGUGCUUCAGUCACGGGUGUUAACAGGGGACCUUGUUUGCCUGCUUCAGACUCCUAGUAGAAUGAUUCAGAGAGUCCACCUGGGGGAGUAGAAGGCCAGCUAUCUAGAAGGACUAAGAUACCUCAGAAAGAUGUGACAACAGCAUAUAUAUAUACGCUGGCAUUUCUUUUCCCAUGAUGGCUUUUAAUGACACGUUUGGUGACAGAACUCUAAACCUCUGAAAUCCCCCUGAUUGCGAAUUCCCAUUUUCUUCUCCCACUUCACCUCAUUUAAUUCAAAAGCCCACCCCUUGUUUUUGCCUGGUCACUUGAUAGGUAAUGCUGCACACAUGACGAACGCCAGCCCGCCCCGCACAUGCUUGGCAUCAUUAGAACAGGAUGAGAGGGGGCUGCCCCCCAAGACCCUGUAGUUCUGCUGGCCCUCAUCUGAAAGCUCUGGCUGAGAGGGUUGUGUUUGGCAUCGCCUCCGCUUAAGCAAGAAUCCUGGGAAGAGAUUUCCACAUUUAAUUUAACUGUGUACAUCCAGAACCAAGGCUGAAUCACAGGUCAUGUGUGAAUUUCCUAAAUAUCCCAACCUAGAACCUCCUCAUAAAGGCACUGGGUCUGAGCUGUAGGGUGUUUCAAACCAGUUUCCUCACACUCUUUGAGAUUCCUUUGAUGCAGACGUCUAAUGUGUUAAAUAAAUGGUGGAUUGUUGAUAUUGCUCCCCUUUUUUGUUUACCCAGUUAGAAUGCCACUGGUUUGCACUGUUUUAUAGUUCUGGCUUGUAACUUAAUUUUAUUUCUUUAAAGCUUAUUUGGUCUAAUGAGUACUUUUUAGCAUACACUGUUUUAUUGAGCUUCUGUGAAUGCCAUCACAAUGUAGUUUUGUACCUCUGCACAGAAACCAAAAUAAAUUUUAAAUAUUGAAGCUGUAAAAUCUUUAAAUUCCAU
rnacentral:lncRNA from 1 species